GUCCACGCCCUAAACGAUGCAUAUUUGGUGUGGGCCAUUCAUUUGGUCUGUGCCGGAGCUAACGCGUUAAAUAUGCCGCCUGGGGAGUACAGUCGCAAGGCUGAAACUCAAAGGAAUUGACGGGGGCCCCGCACAAGCGGUGGAGCAUGUGGUUUAAUUCGACGCAACGCGAAGAACCUUACCUGGGCUCGAAAUGCUAUGGACCAGCUGGUGAAAGCCGGCCUUCCCGCAAGGGACUGUAGUAUAGGUGCUGCAUGGCUGUCGU
rnacentral:rRNA from 1 species